UAAGGAAUAUUGCGCAAUGGGCGCAAGCCUGAUCCAGCCAUGCCGCGUGAACGAUGAAGGCCUUAGGGUUGUAAAGUUCUUUUGUCAGGGAAGAUAAUGACGGUACCUGAAGAAUAAGCACCGGCUAACUUCGUGCCAGCAGCCGCGGUAAUACGAAGGGUGCUAGCGUUGUUCGGAAUCACUGGGCGUAAAGCGCGCGUAGGCGGCUUAACAAGUCAGAGGUGAAAGCCUGGAGCUCAACUCCAGAACUGCCUUUGAAACUGUUAAGCUUGAGUGUCGGAGGGGAUAGCGGAAUUUCUAAUGUAGAGGUGAAAUUCGUAGAUAUUAGAAGGAACACCGGUGGCGAAGGCGGCUAUCUGGACGACAACUGACGCUGAGGCGCGAAAGCGUGGGGAUCAAACAGGAUUAGAUACCCGGGUAGUCCCUGAGCGGGCUGGCAAGGCGCAU
rnacentral:rRNA from 1 species